UGUUGAUGAUACCAAUGAGGAGCCCUACAUGAAGAGCAAUGGAGUGGACCCUAAGAAAUAACAACCCUCACAGCAGAUGUAGCUCUAGUCUACAGUCUACAUGGUACAUAAAAGUAAAAUAACAAGUAGCCUACAGAACUGAAUGCUGUCUGAUAUUUCAAGAUGUGGAAAGGAAUGCAAGAGGAGGAGGGGAAGAGAGAGGGAGGGAAAAUGGAACAUGUGGCAGAAGUAGAGAUGCAUGAAGUGAGAAGAUGUAUGGCCGUUCCACAUUUAGCUUUCAAGUACUCACCACUAUGCUGCUCCCACUAAAUGAUUUAGUGGCAGAACAACAAUCCAUCAGCUCUGUGGAAGGUUAUUAUAAAUGCAUUACCUCCCCAAGCCUACCAGUUCAAUGGAGUCGUGCAGGGCCUCAUAAAUAUGGGUCAAUAAAGGGACACACACAAAAGACUCAGGAUGAAUGAAAUAGGCUUUAUUGUUUUAGUGUGAACUUUCACCCUACCUGUGCGUAGAAGCUCUCAGAUCUGAGGCGGGUCUUUUCAAAUGAAGAGACACACGAACUGAAGACAGGUCUUCACCUUGAUGGCUACAAAUCGGUCUAGUUUGACCGGCAAACAUCCUAUAACAUAAACCCCAAAAGGGGUAUGUUACAGACAACAGCAGCAGCUCCAUCUCAGUCAUCUGGAAUUGAUGCAGCUGGCUCCAUUGUCUCUCCAGUGUUCAGAGACUGUGCAUUGCCAUGUGAAAAGCAUCUGGAAUUAAUAACAGGCCAGGGCAGGCCAGCACAACAAGAAUAUUUUUUUAUCACAUCUUCAAUCCCCCAUCUGUCCUGCAGAUCCCUCUAAUAUUAUUUCAGCAGAGGAUUGCCCCAGGAGGCCUCCCUCCUCCUUCUUGAGGCAGGAGAAUUCCAUUUCUGGGAAUGAAACCUCAACCAAUCACACCUUGGUGGAGCUGAAUCUACAGAACAACGUCUUGGUUUAUUGUGGGUUUCUUGUUUUGUAGAGUUGGAUGUUUUCUUAAGGCUUAAAGUAGGCCAAUGAUCAAUGUAAAACUGUUGGAAUGUGUUCCGUGCCUCAAAAAACAGUAGUUUUCUUUGAUUGUUAAAUAGGGCUAUACAGAUUUGUGUCCAUUGAGUAAAUUAUAAUGGCUUUUAAAGAAGAGGCAGAACUUUAAAAUUAUGCACUUUAAAUGGUAGGAUGUUUUUGGUAAUCUUUCACAUUCCUAAAGUGACUUAAAUAUUGUUUUUGACUGAAACAAGGAGCUACGGAUAAGCAAUAUGUUUCAAAUGAAUCGCUUGAACCCAUAAAUAUUUGACCAAAUGUCAGAGAACAUAAAUGUCUUGUCGUGAAGAUGUUUGUGCCAUGGCUACUCAAUCUGAAGAGCAAUGGAAAGAGGCAUCUGUUUUGUACCUCUCUGUCAACCCUCUCCAGUCACAAUGCAUUGCUAUGUGAUGAAAGAAAACCUGCAAGUGAAUCACCUCUUCCCCUACACCUUUAGCAUCCCGUUGGUCCCGUUGAAGGAGCAACAGUCAGAAAGAGGUGUCUGCCUAUGUUCAAAACACAGCUCCAACUUUCCUUGACAUUUUUAAAAGCAGCUAGGUGUCACCUUAGUAAACGUCUGCCUUGAGUCAGAGCUUGGUGAUGAUGGUGGUUACUGGUAGGACGGUUUGUUACAGAAUCGACUUUCCUUUGACAUGACAUCUUACAACCUACUUCUUCUCUCUAAAGCAAACAUUAUGUCUGUUCUUUGCUCUCCCCACCUGAUCAAAUAAAGAGAUUGGGAAAAAUGUAGUUAGUUUGUACAUAUUUUUAUGGCCUUGGUUUGAAUUUUCCCUUGUUGUAGGAUACCUACUCCCAAAUGUUGCAUUGUAUGUACUGCAUGAUGACCAUUACUGUAUUACCACUUAUAAGAGACCCUUCAACAUGUAACAUACACAGUCUGAGAUAUUGAAUCUGUUCAUGUUUGUUUUUUUAACCACUCCAAACAAGAAGAAUUAAGCAGAUACCUCAGCAAGACGUCACCUGACCUCAUAAGGAUAAAACAGUGAUCACAAACGUGAGCAGGUAAAUAUAGCUCUGCUGCUGACACAACAGCCUUGUGUUAUUUACUUCCAAUCUCACCAGACGUCAACAUGACAGUGGUUACUAUCAAAUCAUUAGACUGGCAAAUGACCCCACAAAUUGAUUGAAGGACCUUGAAAAAGGUCCAUAAAGAAGCCAAACGAGUCAUGUUUAGGAAGACGCAGGGCUCUCGACCUUCGCCUCUCCCGAGUCCAUACGGGAGUUGCAGCGAUGGGAAAAGACUAACUACCAAUUAGAUACUACGAAAUUGGGAAGGAAAAUGGGUUAAAAAAAACACACAAAAAACAAGAAGAAGCCAAACGAAAACACCUGUGGUGUUACAGGCAACACAAUAUUUUCUUUGCUUUGGUUUUCCGAUGUCAACAUUGUGAACAGAGUGGUGGCACUCUGGUGGGGUUAUGGUGUGGGCAGGCAUAAGCUACAGACGACGAAUACAAUUGCAUUUUAUUGUAGAUGCACAGAGGUACUGUACCGUGAUGAGAUCCUGAGGCCCAUUGUCAUGCCAUUCAUCUGCCGCCAUCGCCUCAUGUUUCAGCAUGAUAAUGCAUGGCCCCAUGUCGCAAGGAUUUGAACACAAUUCCUGGAAACUGAAAAUGGCCCAGUUCUUCCAUGGUCUGCAUACUCAACAGAAAUGUCACCCAUUGAGCAUGUUUGGGAUGCUCUGCAUGUUGCGUUUAUAUUUUUACUCAGUAAAUAAUUACUACGGUCUAAAUAAAAAUAUUCAAAAUACUUCACCAGAGAGCAUGACUUAGCAACACAGGAUCAUUAGCUUGUUUUAAAAAAAAUGCUAUGGAUAGUUUCAAAUCACAAGUGUGUAAGCCUAUGCUUAUUUGGGAAUCACGGAAUUGGGUAACAUGAACGGCAAAAUGUCUAGCUGAUUGAGAUGUGUCUGUCAGUGACAAGCAUCUAAAAUAUGUGUGAAGAUAAUAUGUCUUGAGUAUAAUAUAAAAUGUUGCAACAAGGAGGGGAGGGGUAGGUGGAGAAGACACGUCUCUCUCCAGAAUGCGCUCAGUGGUCUCCUAACAAUUACUGCGCAUUAAUUGUUUCAUUAUGUGAAUUGUUUGCCCUAUGAUUGUUAAUAAAAAAUAAAAAAA